GGGAGCAGUCCGCCGCCUCCCUCCGAGCGCAAGACGCUCCGACGCCCGCCUGCCCGCAGGCCACCGCAGGUUAGGAAUUACACAGCAAGAUGGCUUUCCCUGUUCCACCAUGGCUAGAGCCUCCACUGAAAGGGCUGAAGCCCAUUGAUCUUGGCUUCAUUUGGAUACAUUUCAAGGGUAUAAUAUGAUGGCAGGGUAGGAACCCACACAGAUGGUUUCAGUUUGCAAAUGUGAGGAUGGAAAUGGAACCAGGCAAGAGGGACUGCAAGGAGGGUGUGGAGAAGAACACACAGGACUAGUGAUCCGUGUAGGCAUGGCACCUGGAAACAAGACCAGAAACAGAUAUACCCCACAUGAACCCUGUUGUACCAUGAUCCUACUCACAUCAUCCAUGUCUUCAGUGAGGGGAGGGCAGCCGCUCUGACAGGUGAAGUCUACCCCAGACAACCCAAACACAAACAUGCCCCGAGGAUGGCAGUUCAGGGAUGAAAAGGAAAGCAUUGGGGCACAGAAAGGAAACAAUGGCUCAACUGUCGAGUAUAUGGUUUCUCACCAGCAUCUGUGAACCUAAUGACCUCCUCAGUGGUUCCUUCUGGAACAUUCUCUGACUGGGUACCAUGUACUCUCUUUCUCUCCUGAAUCUUUUGUUCCCAAAGCAAAUGCUUUUAAAUGAAGGUGCCUUCGAGCUCCUGUGGGUUGUUAAAGAUUGGAACAAGCUGGGACAAAGAUAUUAAACUGAUACCACUCAGGCCAGAGGGGAUGGCUUAAGUGUAUGAGAACCUUUUUCCCCUUUGGGGCAUUGAACGUGUGGAAUAAUGUUAAGAUAAUCCUAAGGGUCCUAAAUGGUUGAAGAACACCCUUGAAGAGAUGGAAAGAUUCUAAGAACCAGAGGGGAUGGAUGACUUCAAAGAAACACAGGACUGAUGACCACAUGGCCUCUCAGAGACUGUAGCAGCUUGUACCAGGCCUGUACAGGUUCAAGCCAGAUGGGGUUCCAGCACUGAGAGGGGAAUUGGUCAUGGGCUUCUACUCCUUACAAAGCUCUCUGCAACUGAUAUUGACUUACAAAGGAAAAUAGUUUUCUUCACUGAAGUAUCACUGGGCAUAUUAACCAUACUUCAAGGUAGGCCACCUUCCCAGUAAAGUCUUGGGAUUGGAGUCUGGCCCCCAACACCUGUGUUUCAGUUUCCAG